UACGUAGGGGGCAAGCGUUGUCCGGAAUUAUUGGGCGUAAAGCGCGCGCAGGCGGUUAUUUAAGUCUGGUGUUUAAACCUUGGGCUCAACCUGAGGUCGCACUGGAAACUGGGUGACCUGAGUACAGAAGAGGAAAGUGGAAUUCCACGUGUAGCGGUGAAAUGCGUAGAUAUGUGGAGGAACACCAGUGGCGAAGGCGACUUUCUGGGCUGUAACUGACGCUGAGGCGCGAAAGCGUGGGGAGCAAACAGG
rnacentral:rRNA from 1 species